rnacentral:rRNA from 1 species
UAGGGAAUCUUCCACAAUGGGCGCAAGCCUGAUGGAGCAACACCGCGUGAGUGAAGAAGGGUUUCGGCUCGUAAAGCUCUUUUGUUGGAGAAGAACGUGCGUGAGAGUAACUGUUCACGCAUUGACGGUAUCCAACCAGAAAGUCACGUCUACACACGUCCCAUCAGCCGCGGUAAUACGUAGGUGGCAAGCGUUAUCCGGAUUUCUUGGGCGUAAAGCGAGCGCAGGCGGUUGCUUAGGUCUGAUGUGAAAGCCUUCGGCUUAACCGAAGAAGUGCAUCGGAAACCGGGCGACUUGAGUGCAGAAGAGGACAGUGGAACUCCAUGUGUAGCGGUGGAAUGCGUAGAUAUAUGGAAGAACACCAGUGGCGAAGGCGGCUGUCUGGUCUGCAACUGACGCUGAGGCUCGAAAGCAUGGGUAGCGAACAGG